rnacentral:rRNA from 1 species
GUCUAGUACUCAGAGUUUGAUCCUGGCUCAGGAUGAACGCUAGCUACAGGCUUAACACAUGCAAGUCGAGGGGAAACGGCGUUGGGUGCUUGCACCCUUCGGACGUCGACCGGCGCACGGGUGAGUAACGCGUAUCCAACCUUCCCAUAAGUAGGGUAUAACCCGCAGAAAUGCGGACUAAUCCCCUAUGUUGUUCAAAUUCGGCAUCAUGCUUGAACAAAAGGUUUUUUCCGCUUAUGGAUGGGGAUGCGUCCGAUUAGCUUGUUGGUGGAGGUAACGGCCCACCAAGGCAUCGAUCGGUAGGGGUUCUGAGAGGAAGGUCCCCCACAUAGGAACUGAGACACGGUCCUA